UCGGCGCCAUUUUGUCUCGGCAGCAGGGGCUACGGCUCUAUCACAUUUUAUGUUUUUGGCGAGAAGGGAGCGGAGUCUCAAUCCGGUAGAUUUAUUUGAGUGUGGAACCCAUUCACCGUUCUCUCCACGACACCACUUAGUAAAUGUUGGAGGAGUCACAGACCCGUCAAAAAGUUGUGCUGAGGAAAAUACAGGACAUGUCAAUGACACAUAAUCAGAUAUUACUGAGGUGCUUCUGAAGUGGAUCUUUAGGAUAGUUGAGCAUUUGUACAGUGAAACAUUUUGCUACAACAGAAGUGACAUUUAGAAGAUACUGAAAACAAACAGAUUACUCUUAUGGUAUGGUUAGUUGAGUUUAACUACUUUAUGUUUCUGUCUAGCCUUGUCUAAAGUUCCUCAUUCUUAGGUGCAUUCCCUCAGCACUUGUGUCGUGAGACCAUUUGCACGCCUCUCUGAUCACACAUAAGUUGGAAUUGUUUGACUCUUUUCCCUUUUAAGAGACUACUUCCAGAGGGCAGCAACUAUUUUCAUCGUUAUGUUCCCUUAGUUGGGACAUGUUAGGUGCUCUGUAAAUAUUUCUUAUGAAUGUGUGCAUAUUUGUAUGCAAACUAUGUGAAAUAAACUAGUUUUCUUUUAUAGGAAUUCUUUUCUGAGAAUUAAUGAUACUGCACAAGUGCUGUCUGAACCUUCAGAUUUUCAUUUUUAACAUUCCAAAUAUUGAUUUAAUGCUGAACUGAUUUUCAGUUGCUAACAAAACGUAGAACCCAUUAAAAAUAUAUCAAAGUAGUAACUCGAAAUUUUUUUUUAUUUCUCAAUCCUUUUUUUUUAAGAAUUUUAUGACAUUUUAUUUGGAAGUAAUUGUAGAUGAAUACUAACUGAACAGCUAGUUGUUGUUAGCUGCUGUCAGGUUGAUUCCAACUCAUGGCAACCCCAUAUGUGCACAUUAGAACUGCUCCAUAGGGUUUUCAAGCCUGUGACCUUUCGGAAACAGAUUGUCAGGCCUAUCUCUCGAGUCACCUCGUGUGGGUUAGAACUGCCAAACUUUUGGCUAGUAGUCAGGUGCCACCCAGGGACUCCUGAACAGCCAGUAGACCAUGGUAUGAAUGAAAGAAAAUAAAUUAUGAUAGAAUUGUUUUUAUGUAACAUAUUUGAAUGAGCCCAGGCUGAGAAUAAGUGUUCUUAAAGUUCUGUAAUGGUUUUACGGGUGAUUAUAGAUUUUUCCUGCAAUAUCAAAAUUGUCAGUUUUUUAAUAAUGUUUCUAUCGUGUAAAGCUAUUUUGAAAUCAGGAUUAGACUCCAAAGUUCUGCGUUCUGCAGUGUGUGGACUAUAACAUACUCUAAAAGAAGUCUUUGUCUUUUAGAGUACACCUGGUUUUUGUGGAAAAAUGAAGCAUGGAUUUCCAGUUUUAAAGACCUGAAUUCUGCUGUCUGGUGUUGAAAAUUCUGUUCCCGGUGUGUAAUUUUAUUUAACUAUCUUUUAGUAAUCAAGAUUGGUUAUGCUGUUAUAUAUGUAUGACUCUUUUGAAAAAGAAUUUAUUCCACCGUGCAGUUAUUUUUGUAAACUUCGGUAUAUUGUUGAGAAGCAGAACUGAUUGCUGUGUUGAGUGUAGCUGCUUUCCUAAUGAUAUAGUUAUGUUUUGGGAAAUUACAUAAUUUACUCAUUUGUAACCAAAGGAAACUUUAUGGCUGCAUGGAUUUGAUUUUGAAGAUUUAAUCAGGACUCAUAAUGAUAAGUAGAUUUGUCAAAGUUCAGUAUACAGUCAGAUCUAGAGAUUUUUAAGAGACAAAUUGCUAUAAAAGGUAGAACAGAAAUAAAUUUUUUUAGUCGUGAAAGCUCUUCAAGGUUAAUGAGAUGCAAGCUAGAAAAUUAGGAGAAAAGAAGGCAUUCUAAUUGGAUGGAAGAUUUUGGGCAAAAAUGCUAUUAUAUAAAGCAACAUAUGUCUGGGACAGUGUGAGUGAGUUUGGAGAUGAUGACUGGCUGAAGAUUAUGUUGAGAAAAAGUGUGUGGGGCCAUCUUGUCAACAUUUAUAGGGUUACCUGUACAUCAGAAUCAUAUGGGGUGCUUGUCUUCUAUCCAUGUUCGGGAACCUCUAGAGGGCUUUGAAAGCUGGAUUGUGAGCAGAAAGCGAAGAUUUUCUAUGUUUUGUUUUAUUUUCAGAUUUUACAAAUAAUAAUGGAAGUUAAAAACAAAAAAAAAUUACUUUUAACCUACCCUAAUACUAGUUUUAUAAAUUCUGUUCUUCCUCGUCUGUAUGCAUAUUCUUUUUUAAGUUAGAGUAAUUUUCUUUUUUAUUUGUUUCUUUAACGUUGUAAGAAGCAUCAGUGUGACUGCACAGUCUACAUAUAAAUUUCAGUGGUUGAAAAUCUUCCUUCAGGCUAUUUUUAACUCUUUUUCUGUUGAUUGACCCUUUUAAGUUUCUAAUCCUUCAGUGUUGUGCUACAAUUGUCAACUCUGUACAUAAGUAUUUUCCAUGAUUUGGACUGUUUUUUAGGAUCAAUUUAAGGGUCAUUGUAUGAAGAUUUUUAUGACUUAAAACAUUGCCAUGUUGUUUUUGAAAAGGGUUACAGUAAUUUACACUGUCACUCUCACUAUGAGUUUAGUUUGCCACACCCUCAUUAGCAUCAGGUAGUCUAUAAUUAUAUUUGUUUUUACUAAUUUAAUAGGUGCAAAAAAUGCUUCCCCCCCUUGUUAAUGAGUGAGAUGGGACUUUUUUACUGUAUUUCACUUAAUAAUUCUUCUAUUAGUCUGUAUUUCUGUUAUUUAUCUAUUAGAGUCUGAAUGUUUUAUUCCUUAACUGUUUUAUUACAUAAUACUUAGUAGUAAUUUGCUGCAGAUAUUUUUUCCAUAUAGAUUUCCUUUUGAUUUUAGUAACUUUUGUUGAGAUUUUUUGGAUAGACAGAGGGAUAUGAUGUGCACAAAUUUAGUGCUGGAAAAUUGUUCGGAAAGAAUGUCCAGUAUGGCUAAAGGGGAGACAAGAUGCCCUUGCAGUGGUGUCAGCAUGAGGUGAAAUUAGAGUAGGACCUGGAGGCAAAGGAAAGAACAGGUGAGCAAGAAAAAAGAGCUAACUGGAUUUAAUCAAUCUUUGACUGAAUACAGGAACAAAGAAGAAAGAAAACAAAAGAAACAGUGUCAAGAUUUCAGAGUAGGGAACAAACAGUACCAUUAACUGAUUUGAAAAGUCAGAAGAGACCGCUGGUUGGUGAGGAAGAUGAAAUUUGUUUUCAACAUGCAAGUUAGAGCUUUAAAUGUCCAGUAGUAAGCGUCUAUUCUACUUUUUCUCAAAUUACUUAUGGGGCCCCUAAUUGGGGGCAAGAUAUUAUGCUGAAUCUUAUAUUGUUUUCACAUUUUGACUUAAUUCCAUUUUUCUGUUAGACUUAGGUAUUUUUAUCAGAGCUUUCUUAUUUCUGAUUUUUAAAGUACAACUUUUAUUAAAAAGAAAAGUUAAAGUGGAUUAAUAAAUUUAGUGCAGAAAAGCCAGAUAAUUCUCAAACUAAAUUAAGGAGAGGUUAGUUUUUCAACACUGAGAAAAUAUAGUUCUAAGAGAGCAUUUUACAAAAUAUAUGCGUGUUUUAAAACAAACUUGUGGGGUGAAAUAUCUUCCCUCUUCCUAAGUGGACUUCUUUCUAUGUGUUUAGUUUUAGUUUGAUUUUAAUAGACUAUAAAGAGAUAACAGAUGUACGUGGGCCAUAAAUGUUUUAGCCAAGAUACUUUAAUAUCUGAAAUCUAAGUAAAGAUGUUGUCUUGUUUUUAGAAAUCACUUUAUUUCAACAGAUAAAAUAAUAUUCAGUUUAAGAAAGGACUUUAAGAGUUAGAAAUGUCAAAACAGGGAAUAGGCUAACUUCUGUGUUUUUCAGGAAGAGCUUACUUUCAGCAGUUAACUUCUAUGGUCUCCACACCCCUUUUUUUCCCUAAGGCAUUAAAAUUGUUUUCUACUGUUACAGCAAGGAAAAAGUUGUGAUUUUGUUUUAGAAAAAAGCAAAUCUUUUAAAUGAUCAGUUAGGUAUCAGUCACAACUUUAAAUAUUUUUUCCUUUUUUUUUUUAUUCAUUUUUUUAAUCUGUUUUUGUAAAGCCUAACCUUUUUGGGGAGACCCUGAGUAGUGCAGACGCUUAAGUGCUCAUUAUUGUUGUUGUUAGGUGCCAUUGACUCGAUUCAGAUGCAUAGUGGCCCUAUAGGACGUAGUAGAACUGCCCCAUAGGAUUUCCUAGGCUAUAAUCUUUAUGGGUGCAGAUCACCAGGUCUUUUUCUUCCUCAGAGCUGCUAGUGGGUUCAAAAUGCUGGCUUUCGGUUAGCAACCAAGCACUUAACCAUUGUGCCACUAGGGCUCUUUUUUAGCACUCGACUAGUAGCUAAAAGUUUGGUGGUUCGAACCCACCCAGAGGCACCUCAGAAGACAAGUCUGGCACUCUGCUUUUGAAAGUUCACAGCCUUGCAAACCCUAUGAAGCAGUUCUACUCUGCACACAUGGUGUUGCCAUAAGUCGGAAUUGACUCAGCAACAACAAACAACAGCCACCCUUUUGGAACCCUUCUUUUGGGACAGCAUAUUAAUGUAUGAAAUUUGAGCUACUCUGUUUUGUAUAUCUAUCUUUGGAUCUCAUUUGUAAUAGUUAGGUAUUAAAAAAAAGUUUUCCCUUUCACAGAACUCUAAUGCAAGGGUGGAAUGAGGGAAGCUACCUGGCUAGAUAUAAUUAUCAAAGCUCCUGCUUUUUAAUUUUGGAAAUUAUUAUUCAUUUUGGUGAAAAUAAUCACAGUCGUACAUCAUUUCAACAAUUUCUCUAUGUACAACUCAGUGGCGUUGAUUACAUUCAAGUUGUACAAACAUUCUUGUCAUCCUUCUCCAAAUUGUUCCACCACCAUUGACUUAAACUCAUUGCUCCCUAAGCUUCUCAUCUAUCCUUUUGAGUUGUCAAUUUGAUCUCACAUAGAUAAUUCUUUAAAAGCUCAAGGCAGACAUUCUUUUCUAAUUAAAAUAAAUUAUUUUUUGGUCCAAAGAUGACUUCAGGGGGUAGUUUUGGUUCAAAGCCCCUGCUUUUGAUUUUGGUGGUGGGUUUGCAGGCAUUUAUUACAUUAUUAAAAAUAACUAACUCAAUGAAGAAAUAUAAGUGGGCAAUGUAUAGACCACUGUGUCGUUUUUUAAAGUUUUCCCAUCAUAAUGCUAGCUUUGAGUUAACAUAUAAUGUUUACAGAUUGAGGAAAAAAUAUCAGUACAUUUAGAAGCAUAACAUUUGCAUUGAUUUUCAGCAUUCUGAGUUUUUAAUUAAUUUGUAGUUAUUCAUGUGUUUUGAUUGCAUUUAUUAAUUCCGUGCCUUUUAUAUCUUAUUUUUCAAGUGUUCUUAAGUUAUUUGAACUACUUAGAGGAUUUAGAUCUUCCUCAUGUCCCUGUAAGAAUGAUAACUUUGAAAAUCACUCAGUGGUAGCAAAGAAGAUGCUUCUUGCUUUAGAGUGUAUAUGUGUGGCCAGAGUUGUGUGUUGUUGUUGUUUUGGGGGGGUUGUUUAGAGGAAAUUCCUUAUACUGUGCUGCACCUGUAAAAUGGGGAUAAUAUUAGAAGCAACCUAACAAAGCCAGCGUGAGUGUUGAACAAGUUAUUACAUGUAAAGUUUCUUAGAAUGAUGCCAAGUAUUUAGGAAGUACUCCGAUGUUAGGUGGUGGUGUUAGUGUGUAUAAUAUUAGUGUCUGUCAUCCCAAGAGAGUUUAAAAGGAUCCAUUGUUAAUCAUAUUUAUAUACAAAAAUAAAGUAUCAGGACUCUGCUGCUAGCAUUCCAGAUCCCUCUGAUGAUCGUAUCAAUCUCUUUCCAACCUUGUUUCCUACCUCCUCUCUUUAAGUAUCAUAUACUGCAGUCAUACUAAACUAUCAUGGCUUCUCUGUACAAGCCCUGUGUUUUCCCAUUUCUUUGCUUUUAUUCAUACUGUUUCUGCUAUCUGGAAUGUUGAUCUUUCUACACAUAUACAAAUAUUACCUUUUAAGGGACAGUUGCUUUCAUAGCUCUACAACUGUAGGUAAUCUCUUCUUACGGAUUUCAUGUAUUUCCUCUUAUAUGAUUCCUAUCAUUUUUACUUUUUAUUGUAUUUCCUUCAUUUGGUUAUGAGAUCCUUAGAGGCAGAGAACUCUACCUUAUUCAUCUUUGUAGCUUUAGAAUCUGUCAUAGGCCUUAGCACAUACUUAGGCAGUCAGUUGUGGAAUAAAGGUUUAUAAAAGGUCUAACAACAAGCUCAAAGGUGAAGUUUAAUGAUCAAAUACAUGCCGGUGAAAAUGUAUCUUGUUGGUUUUUGAACAUUCCAAAACAUUUUCAUCAGUCGCUUAAAAUGAUACGACUUGAGGUCUUAGGAAUUGGGUGAGGUUCAAGAGCAUGGAAGGCGUAGAACAUUAUGUGGAUUAUCAGGAAUCUUCAUUAGAAUGUUUUCUUGCUGUUCUUAAAAAGAUGGCAUGUCUGAUUAACUGACGUUAAAAACAAAUAAACCCAUUGCCGCUGAGUUGAUUCCAACUCCUAGUGACCCUAUAGGACAGAGUAGAACUGCCCUGUGAGGUUUUCAAGUAGCGGCUGGUAGAUUCAAAUUGCCAACCUUUUGGUUAGCAGCUGAGCUGUUAACCACUGCAUCACCAGGGCUGCAGUUAACUGCCAUAGUGAUUGUUUUUCUAAUAUUAACUGAUUUUUCACAGAUCUUCCCACAGAUCUACCUUAUCACUAGUGGUACAAAUUUGUGAAAAGUUUAGCCAGCAUUAAGGGUAUAUCUGUUACCAAUAAAAAUAUGUACAGGCCACCUGGCUAAAUCAGUUAUUGAACCCAUAAUCUUACUCUGCAAGUAAAUUUUUCUUGUCAUGAUUCCAUAAUACCUCUAGGAAUGAAAUUAGGGGUAGCCUGAGAAUAGGAACUGGAUGAGAUAUUUCAUGAGGACUCUUUUUUGAUACUUGGAGGUUAUUGACCUCAAGAUUUAAAAGAAAUGGAAAUGAUGAGAAAUGGAGAGAUAAGUUAUAAUGUCAGGCUCACAGUAGGCAUACAUAGAGCUGAAGCAGCAUUUGUGUACUCUCAGAUCAAAAAUUAUCAGAAUUUUUACAGUACCUCAAAGGGAUGCUAGGUUGAUUAAGCAUCCUAAUAUAGAAACAUUGAAUCUGAAAACCAGAUGCUACAUGUUCUAAUCAUAACCCAGUUACUCAUUGGCUGGCUGACCUGGGGUAUAUCACUCUGCAUGAGUUUUGCUUUUAGAGAAUGAGAGGCAUGGGGCGGUGGGGUGGGGGGGUAAAUAUUUACAGCUCUUCGUGUUUUAGGGUUCCAAACCCAGUGCCAUAUUUUUCAGAUAAGAAGUCCUAAGUAUAUUUGUAAUAUCUAUCUGUCCCUGAAAAGUUAACUAUCACCUUACAUCUCCUAAGAACCAGAAGUGCCAGACAUUGACUUGAUAAAUUUUAGCCCUUAAGGAAAUUGCUGAUACUCCUAUCCCAAAGGAUCAAAUUCAUUGGCUAGUAAAGCAUAUUUCAAGUAAUAGUUAAGCAGGACCACUGAUUUUGUUAUACUGGGGUCCAUUUUAUAUAUGUGUUUGUACGCCAACACCUAUAACAAACAAAAGUGCAGUGUACUUCAACAUUUUCUACUCUAGUUCAUUCAAAAAAAAAAAAAAAAUCUAGUGUGACAGAAUUGACAUCAUGACUUACUUAGAAACCCUAUGGGCAAUUCUGCUCGUCCUGUAGGGUCACUAUGAGUUGGAAUUCGACUCAGUGGCAGUGGGUUUGGUUUGGCUCUUCCCUUAAUUGUGAUAGCUUAGAAAGUUAAGAUACAACUUGUUACCUAAAAAUGCUUUUUAGGUAACAGCAGCAAUGGGGAAGGAGGAAAAGAAGUCAUAGGAGAGGAAUUUGUUUUCUUAUUUCCUUUGCUGGCUUGUGAUAGGGUUUGUUAGGUUUUUGAGUCUACCAAUCCUAAAAUCGGUGAUAAAUUAAACUUUAGGUGUAAUUUACUUCAGGGUUACCUCAAAUUGUAUAGUCAAAAAAAAAAAAAAAUUUUUUUUCCCCAAGUAGUUUCCUCAAACUGAACCAGAAUUUUACUGCUUUCUUAAAACCUUUGUGUUUCUUAGUCUUUCUGUGCAAUUAUAAAACUUCUUUCAGCAUUCAUAUAGUUUUGGGUGGCUAUAUCUUGGUCAAGAAGCCCUGGUGCCUCAGUGGUUAAAGCAAUCGACUGCUAACCGAAAGGUCGGCAGUUCAAAACCACCAGUGACUCCACUGGAUAAAGAUGUGGCAGUCUGCUUCUGUAGAGGUUUACAGCCGUGGAAACCCUGUGGGGUUGCUGUGAGUUUUUUGGGUUAUAUCUUGGUCAGGCAGGGAUUUUUAUAUGAAGGAACAUAGCAAAAAGAAAAACUGUCUUCCUGUUUCUUAUUCCUCAUGUGAUACGGACUUUAAGGCCUUAAAAUUGCCAAGGCAACCAGGGCACACUUUGGCUGUUUUCCUCUCAAAUUUGAAGUUCUGCAAUUUAUUACAGUCACAAAGAACUGUUCCCAGUACGCCACAGAACUUGCUUCCUCUGUGUUGCUGUGUACUUCCUGUUUUGUCAUAUUUCCAUUUAGGGAAGAAGAAUGGUUUUAUAGGCUAGAGUAAGUUUUGUUAAAACUUCUCCUGAAAUGCAGUUCGGAAUCUGUCCAAAUACCUAGAGGGACAAAAAGGCACGUCAUGUCUGCACAUGAAGUCAUUUGUCAGAAUGCUUUAUUUGGCUUCCUACCAUGAGAGAGAGGAGUGCCAGGAAGGAAGAGAAACUUUUGGCUGUCAGAAAUAUUUAGUGUAUGACUUGCCAGCUUUGUAGCUUGCCUUUAGCCUUUCCAUGUCAAAUGUAUUUCAGCGUGUGAAUGAGUCAUUAUAUUGCCUAUGAAGGAAGGAUCUCUGUUCAUUUCUAGUAGUCUUAUCUGUAGAAAUAUGUAAGAACUGCAUUUGGCCACAUUUACUCCAUUUUCAGUAGGAACAGGUGGAAGGUCAAAUGGUGAUUAGAAUAGAAAAUGGGCUACAUUGUGAAUGUCAAAUAUCUUUGAGAAAAAAUGUUGCAGCAAAACAAUUUUAAGGAUUUUUUUUGCAACUAAUACACAUUGAGUUAGAACAUUUAAAGCUAUAAAUGAUGAAUUAUAUCACUUUUUUAUCCUGUGAAAUGAACUAGGUGUCAGUAGACUAUAAUUUCAGCGUAAACCUGUAUGUCCAUAAUGCUGGUAAGAGAAUCUUGUGUUAACAUUCUUGUGGAGGGAACCAGGCCCUUCAAUGAAAUUUUCGUUGACCAAAUUGACCUGGCCUGUCUUAAGUCAGGUAUUUUUCUCUUUCUUGACCUGUCUGUAAAAUAUGAAGGAUACCUAUCCCCGGCCAUUAAUGAACGAUUAUGCAGUUAAUUCCUUACUGUCUCCCUGGCUGUUUGUCCACCCUUAUGUUGGAAAUAUUCUAAGAUUUCUAUGUUGUCCUCUUUUGCAGCAGCUAAUAUGGAAUUGUAAGAUGUUUGAAGCCAUCUGCUGUCAAGUUUCUGCCAGAUACUUCCCUUUUUCUCAUCUAGAUAGGUAAUCUUAUCUCUGAGACAUAUAUUUCUGACAAAAUUAAAUGGACAAAAAAAAGUUUUCCUAUAUACCACACCUUUCAGUCCCUACUAGUAGCUUCAGCUCCCAUUUUGCCUUAUUACAGAAGUCUUUUCUUAAAACUCUGUAAGUAGUAACCUUUUAAUACCCUGUGUCCAAAUCAGUGAUUCUUAAAUUUUAGUAUGUUCGUAAGAAUUACAUCAGGUGCUUAUUAAAAAUACAAAUUCCUGGACCCUACUUCAGACCUAAUGAAUUCAAACCUGUGAAGAAUUCUUAUGCAGAUGGUCUUUGGUUUGAAGAGGUAUACCACGUGCAUUCCCACUCAUCUAAAUUCUGUUCUUCACAAUCUUUUAUAGAUUAGUCUCUUUAUUUCAACUUCUGGCAUCUCAGAAGCUUUUCUAUACCAAUUUGGCAUCUCGGAAGGUUUUCUGUACUAAUUAUUGACAUCUUUAGUUUUUCUCCUGAAUUUAUUCAUUGUAGCACCACAAAGUAGAAUUUUAGGAAAAUUUACUUAAAUAAGGAGUUGAAUUAAUUUAUUGUAAAAUAAUGUUAAAAGCCCUGUACUGUUUGUCAUUCCCCAGGUUCAUUCCCUGUUCACCAGUCACUACACUUCUCUGAGCUUUAAUUUCCUCAUCCACCUAUAAGAAUGAAUUAUAGUACUUGUACCUUGAUUACUCAUAUUUUAUAAUUGGAGAGCACUUGUUACUGCUAUUUCCUGGUUACUGCUGACUCUCCAGCUUUUUGCUACUCCUUAUUUAAAUGAAUUUUCCUAAAAUUCUACUCUUUGGUGCUACACAGUAAAAAUCAGAUAUUUAACUUUUGUAGAUAAUAAGUCUGAACAGCCUGUCACUGAAGGCUUUUCACUGGUUUCCUUUUCAGUCCUUCUAAUUAUACCCCAGAAGAUCUGGUCUCUCCACGGUACCACUUCUGCAAACCAUUUUUGUCACAUUUAUGACCUUUCUCCUUUAAAAAUCCAAAUCAUCCAAAGUAAGGAACCUUACUCUGCAGUGCUUUUUAUAAACCACAUUAUACCGGUGUUUAUUUUAAAGAGCUGUUAUGUAUGCACUGGAAGGAUACAUGUUAAAUGCAUACAUAAUAUGUGAUUACCUCUGAAGGGGUGGGAUGGUCAAAAAGGAACAGUAGUUUUAUUUGUAAUGAUAUAAUAUUUAUAUGACGGACAAUACAUAGAUACAUAUACACAUACCAAAAAAUUUUUUUACACAAUAGUAGUUUUUCUAGAUUGUGGGAGUAUAGUUUUCUUCUUCAUGCUUUUAUAGUUUUUUUUUUUUUUAAUUUGCCAUAGUUAAAAGUGGGGAUAAGAAAUAGAGUGGUUUUCUAUGUAUAUGGCUGUUUUCAAAGUAUUUUGUAAACUGUAUUUUGUAUUUUUUUCUAAAAAUUCCUAUAGUCAGUUAUGUUGAACCAGACACUAGGGAUUUUGCAUUCCCACCAGCAGUGAGAGUUCUUGUUGGUCUACAUGCUCACCAAAGUUUAGUGUAGUCUUUAGUCUAAUAGAUGUGGAGUGGUGUAUCUAAUUGUGGUUAUAUUUGCAUUUUCCCGAUGAUUAAUGAUAAGUAUCUUUUCAUGUGCCUGUUUGCCAUUCUUGUAUUGUCUUUGGUGAAUUGUCUGUUCAGACUGUUGCCUUUUUUUUUUCUUCCAAUCAUAUUGUUAACUUAUGUUGAAUUUUGAGAGCUCUUUAUAUAUUCUGGACAAAAGUCCUUUGUUAGAUACAUUUGCAAAUAUUUUCCCCCAUAGUUUUUCUUAUCUUUUCAUUCUCAACAGUAUUUUUAGUUAGAGAUGCCUUUAAUUUUGGUGAAAUUCAAUUUGUCAGUUUUUUUCUUUUAUGGAUCAUGCUUUUGGGUAUAGCAUCUGAGAACUCUUUUUAAACCAGAGUUACAAAAUUUUCUUCUGUGGUUUCACCUAAGUUUUAAAGUUUGAGGUACAUUUUGGUCUGUGAUUGCUUCUGAGUUAAAGUUUUGUAUAUGGUACAAGGUAUGGUUUGAAGGGUUUUCUUUGUAUAUGGAUGUCCAGUUGUUAAUUGUAACAGCACCGUUUGUUGUAAAUCACUAUCCUUUCUCCAUUGAUUUGCCUUUGCACCUUUGUUAAAAAUCUAGUUCUAGACUCCAUUCUGUUCCGUUGAUAAUGUGUCAAAUGUCUAUUACAUUAAUUUUAUAGUAAGCCUUGCAAUAGUGUGUCUUUUUCAAAAUUGUUUUUGCUAUUCUAAUUUCUUUGUUUUUUCUACAUUCAUUUUAGAAACAGCUUGUCAAUUUCUACCAAGGAAAAGUCUGUUGGUAGUUUGAUUGGGUUUACAUUGAAUCUCUAAGUCGUUUUGGGAAGAACUGACAUCUUAACAAUACCGUCUUCCAAUAAGUCUGUUUAUUUAGGUUUUAUUAUUUUUUUCAUCAGUGUUCUAUAAUUUUCAAUGAAAUCUUCCAGAAAUUUAGAUUUGUACCUAAGUAGUUCAUGUUUUUUGUUGGCAUUAUAAAUGAUACAUACUCUUAUCCUCAUUUUAUAGAUGUGGAAAUUAAGUUACUUGUUAGCCGAAAGUCACACAAUUAUCAAAUGACAAAACUACAUUGACUACUUGAGCUUACAGACCACUACCCUGGUUUUACUUACAGUCUCUAUGAAUACAAAUAAAAGCAAAUGGACAGUCAGAUAAGUGUGUUUAUAAUCUAAAUAUAUUUUAUUAUUUGAAAUCUCUAAACCAGAAUUUUGUUCUUUUAAAAUAUUUUUUCUUCUUCUUUUUUUAGGUAUCAGUAUCAACAAAGUUUACACUAAUAAGGUAUUCAACCUUUUCUUUCUUAAAAUAAAUUUUACAGUCACAAAGUAAAAUGUAGUUGCUUUUUUACCAUCUUACUGAUACAGCAUUAAAUAGGUUAUUCAUUAUCAUUUCAUUUCUCAGAGGGUAAUCCGAUCUCAUAGUAGUUAAUCCUGUGUAUAGUAUAAAAAUCAGUUUCUUCAUAAUAGCUUUAAGAACUAGGUAUAGCUGUUUAGUUUCAUCUGAUGUUAUUACAUCUUGUAGUGAGUUACAAGUGGCUCAGCUGCCCAAACUUAGGUUUAAAACAGAGCUUUGAACCGGUUUGAACCGAUUCAGUCAUGGCCAACAACAACCAUGAAACAGCAACAGACCCAGAGUUUUACAGUUUGGCAGAUUUGGCACAGUACUCAGAAUAGGAAAAACUACAGGUUGAAGCCCUGGAAUGGGAGACUUGGAAGAGGCAGGGUGAGCCCUGUCAGGAGCCUGAUAUGUGAGACUGGCUUAUUGGCAGGACUGUAGAAGAACAACACAUUCAAAGUGGUGUGGUCAGCAGCCAUCUUUUAAGUGGGGUGCCGCCAUCUUUGAGCUGGGCAGUGCUGCUUUGAACUGUGCUUAAAAUCGAAGGGCAAGGGAUUUGGUUGUUAUGCAAUGCAUACACUGCCCUUGUUCUCUAAAAAGGAGAUAAAGUUUAUAGCAGGGCUUCGACCCAUAGUUUUUCCCGUUCGGGUCAUCUUUCCAGUUUACCAAAACCCAUUGUCGUCGAGUAGAUUCCAACUCAUAUAGUGACCCUAUAGGACAGAGUAGAAUGGCCCCAUAUGAUUUCCAGGGGGCAGCUGGUGGUUUCAAACAGCCGACCUUUUGAUUAGCAGCUGAACUCUUUACUGCACCACCAGGGCUCCUUCCAGUUUACAGUAACUUUAAAAAUUGGGUCUGUUUCAGUGAUGCUUCCUCAGCUAUGACUGAACCAGGCAGAACCAGUUCAAAGCCCUAGUUUAAAAAGGGUUACUUAAGAAUACAUGCACUCACAGCACAGUAAGAAUAGAAGAUUCAUGUGCCAUUCAUAGUUUGGAAAAGUUUAAGAAAGGCCACAGAUUUGCUUAUUAUCUGAGUAAAAUAUGAGUUGUAAAAUGUAGCAGGUAAUUUCACAUAAAAGAAGCCAUAAUGAAAUACUAGUUUGUGUUGUUUGUGUAGUAGUUACCUAUUUAAGUAUAAUGAUUUGCUGUCUUAAGUACACAAAUGUUCAAAGUCCAGCAAUACCCUGCAGCUAAACUCAAUGGUUAAGCUGCCUUCUUAGGAAAGCAUAGCAGUUGAAUGGAGUGGCACUAGCAUGAGCCCAGUAAGGUGGUUAAACACUCAGCUGCUAACCGGAAGGUCAGCAGUUCGAACCUACCAGCUGCUCUGCAGGAGAGUGAUGUGGCAGUUUGCUUCCAUAAAGAUUUACAGCCUUUGAAACUGUAUGGGGCAGCUCCACUCUGUCCUGUAGGGUUGCUAUGAGUCAGAACUGACUCAACAGCAGUGGGUUUGGGUUUUAGCUUUUUGUAUCUAGGAUCCCUGGCAAAAUUCACAAUUAUUUCUUCCUGCUGUGAGUGCUGCUGUUCAGGUUCUGACAGUUGUCGUUCAGGCCACAGUACUUCCUAUACCACUUAAUAACAAUUAGGUUUACAGAGCACUUUCACAUAUAUUCUAAUUUUAGCAUGAAUGCUGUCUGGUAGUAUUUUUAUUUGAACCUUACAGAUCAAGAAAUUUUAAGAGUGACAGAAUAGGGAUUUUAUUGAUCCUUAAAUCACCCCACCUAACCACAAUAAAGGGAAAAAUAAACAUUCUUGACUCUUACAUAUUAAAGGAUCUGUUUUUGAAAAAACUGUCCCAAUUCGACACAUUUUUCUUCUGCAUCACACCUAACAUUUAACAACUGGCUGAUUACUAACAAUUACUAGGUAAGUGAUGGAGUAGAGUUUUAGAUUGAGGAUUUCAAAGCCUCUUCAUUUUCCAGUAUUUCAAGGAAUUUUAAAGUAGGCAUAAAUCUCCAUUUUACUGUUGAGUUAUAUGUCCUCAGUUAACCCCCACCAAUUUUGUUAGGCAGAUAUUAACCAAACUUCAGUGGUUACAAGACAAAAAUUUAAUGAAAAUUGGUGAGUGGGUUUGUAAUAAUCCACAGGGCUAAAUAGUUUACAUGGAACUGUAAUAGAAAUUUAAAAUAGAUGGUGAAGUAAAUGUUACAUAUUAUCAUCAUCUGAUUCAUCUUCUUCCUUCAAAGAUUCCUGUUAAAAGAAAAACAGCGUUUAAAAUAAAUUUUAAUAUUGUCAUCACCCAUACCUAUAGUAAGUUAAGGUGUAACAACUUGAAUUUAAUUCAGCACUUGUCAUUACACAUUCAGCUAUUUGUAACUGAAAAAUGAACACUGCUUUAGAACAAGAGCCCAAGUAAAGCAAAGCAAAGGAUAAUUAAACAUAUCUUGCUCUAACACUCAAAGGCUACAUUCUUGCUAGAACACACAUAUGUAAAGCAUUAACGUCCUGAAGAACCCUCACAAUUUUCACCAAAAAAAAAAAAAAAAAUUAUUUUUUUGGAACCACUGGAAGAACCAGGGCCAACU